UCCAUUCAAAACUAAAUUUGUUAGCUGG
rnacentral:sRNA from 1 species